rnacentral:rRNA from 1 species
UACGGAGGGUGCAAGCGUUAUCCGGAUUCACUGGGUUUAAAGGGUGCGUAGGUGGGUAUGUAAGUCAGUGGUGAAAUCCCCGAGCUUAACUUGGGAACUGCCGUUGAUACUAUAUAUCUUGAAUGUCGUAGAGGUAAGCGGAAUAUGUCAUGUAGCGGUGAAAUGCUUAGAUAUGACAUAGAACACCAAUUGCGAAGGCAGCUUACUAUGCGAUUAUUGACACUGAGGCACGAAAGCGUGGGUAGCAAACAGG